rnacentral:rRNA from 1 species
AUUGAACGCUGGCGGCAUGCCUUACACAUGCAAGUCGAACGGUAACGGGCCUUCGGGUGCCGACGAGUGGCGAACGGGUGAGUAAUGUAUCGGAACGUACCUUUCAGUGGGGGAUAACGUAGCGAAAGUUACGCUAAUACCGCAUAUUCUGUGAGCAGGAAAGCAGGGGAUCGCAAGACCUUGUGCUGAUUGAGCGGCCGAUAUCAGAUUAGCUAGUUGGUGAGGUAAAGGCCCACCAAGGCGACGAUCUGUAGCGGGUCUGAGAGGAUGAUCCGCCACACUGGAACUGAGACACGGUCCAGACUCCUACGGGAGGCAGCAGUGGGGAAUUUUGGACAAUGGGGCAACCCUGAUCCAGCCAUGCCGCGUGAGUGAAGAAGGCCUUCGGGUUGUAAAGCUCUUUCGGCCGGGAAGAAAUCGUAUCAGCUAAUACCUGGUGCGGAUGACGGUACCGGCAUAAGAAGCACCGGCUAACUACGUGCCAGCCGCCGCCGUAAAAC